UUUACAUAUUUUAUACAGUUUUUUAUACAGCAUUUUCAAAAUAUUUUGUUUUGCAUAUUCAACAUUUUUCGUGCAUAUUUUGUAAAUUUUUUGUGCAUAUUUGCAUGCAUAUUUUGUCAUUUUUAGCUCCUACAACUUCCGAGCCCUAUUUAUCACGGAACGACAGUGUGACACGGCGAUCGGCGAUGAUGCCUAGAACUUAGAAGAAAUCUUGUAAUAAUAGUAAAGUAAUAUUAUAUAAUACAUAAGUUAAGUUAAUUCAUGUAACUUGUAAGGUAUUUUAAUUUUAUCAUUUAUUAUUUUUUAUUUUCGUUGAUAUCGUUUAAUAAUAUAUCAGGCAUUUUAGUAUUAUGAUUUUGAGAAUUUAUAACUUAAUGAAUUAUGACAACUGACAAGUGACAAUUUAUGAUUGAUGACGUUUCCAUGGUAUUAGUAGGCCAAAAUAAGUUGAACAAAAAAGUUGCCAAAGUGACUUGUUUGAGUAAAAAUAACAAAACGUAUAAGAAAUAAGAAUAAGAAAAAAGGUUACCGAAGUGGCUUUUAGAACAAGUAAAAAAACAUAUAGGACAAAAUGUGUUGAUCAAAAAAGUAACUUCCUCACCCUUAGCCACCGAGGUGAUGUUUACAACGAUUUCUGCACCGUCGCAAAGCGAUCCGUUCUCGAUGAUAAUGGCUACAGAUCCAUUAUUCGGCGGGUCUUCGCCUGCUGCGGGCGAUGGUGAUCUGCACACCAAUAUCAACAGACUAUCCAUAACAUCUUCUUCUAUUUUAUCGAUAUCUGCAUCUUCUUUUUCUUCUUGUUCGGUAGUCGUUAUGAUUUCAUCGAUCGUGUCAAGAAUCAUUAAAUAUAUGUCGUCCGAAGCCUCGUUUAUUCGAUGAUGCGUCCAAUGUUUUUAGAUGUUGUUGCACCAUCGCGAGGUAUUGAGUCAUUUUUGCUAGCUGGCCGCUCGGUACUUAUGACGUGCAGGAAUACAAUUUAAAGUUAGUGAUGAGAGGAUAGUCAAUGGAAAGCACAAUUCCAAUAGGGUUAGAAUGGAAAUUGUAUUAAUGUUGAAAAACGACACUUUUCUAUGUAUACAUGAUGUGUGGGUGUAUAAUCACUCAAAUAGCGCCUAAACAUUAGAUGUUUAUGAUGUGACUUUCAUGUGUAUACGUCUCAUAAAUUUGAAAAUGUGAAUCAACUCGAAUAUCGUCUGACACAGUAGACGGCGGUAAAUUCGAAAACCUCCCGUGGAAAACGGGUACCUACAGCGUUGUUCAUUAUUAGCCAGCAAUAACGUUCAUCUAUUCUAAACAGCUGACAUGAAGAUUCUGAAGGACCGUUUACUCUAUCCAAUUUAAAUAAUAAUUAAUAAAAAUAUAUGAUGUAAAAAUU